GAAAUGCGAUAAGUAAUGUGAAUUGCAGAAUUCAGUGAAUCAUCGAAUCUUUGAACGCACCUUGCGCUCCUUGGUAUUCCUUGGAGCAUGACUGUUUGAGUAUCAUGAAAUCUUUAAAGUAAAUCUUUUGUUAACUCAAUUGGUUUCUACUUUGGUAUUGGAGGUCUUUGCAGCUUCACACCUGCUCCUCUUUGUUCAUUAGCUGGAUCUCAGUGUUAUGCUUGGUUCCACUCGGCGUGAUAAGUUAUCUAUCGCUGAGGACACUGUAAAAGGUGGCCAAGGUAAAUGCAGAUGAACCGCUUCUAAUAGUCCAUUGACUUGGACAAUACUUUUAUGAUCUGAUCUCAAAUCAGGUAGGACUACCCGCUGAACUUAAGC
rnacentral:misc_RNA from 1 species